rnacentral:tRNA from 1 species
CGGGAUGUAGCGCAGUCCGGGUAGCGUACACGACUGGGGGUCGUGUGGUCGCUGGUUCAAAUCCAGUCAUCCCGACCA